UGUCCCGGCCUACCGCCUGCAUGAUUAACAAUGCUCGUGGGCUGUUAUUUUGUCACGUGUCCACGGACAUCCUCGGCAGCUCUCUCCAGGCAUCUCUAACAGGACUUGGCCAGCGGAAGGCCCUCCAGAGUGUGAGUGAAUGCCUGGUCUGGCACCAAGCGCACCGCAGGCUCUGCGGACCGUGUCUAAGAACAUUUUGAUGGGAGCCUCAGCCUAGGGGCCAGGAGGUCAAGGUCCAGGGUGAGAGUAAAAGUGGGCUCCCCAGGGACUGGUCCCUGCCAGUGUGGCCAAGACCUGCUCCUGGGGUGGUCAUUCUUAUGGUGACCACCAGGGGUCAGGGUUGGCCCGGUCUGACUUUCUGCCUAGUUGCAGCACCCCAGGGUGGCCUGCAGAGGGCAGCAGGGACCCCCCCCACCUUCCUGCGAGCAGCAAGGUGGGGGUGUUGCCAAAAAGAAUGCAUUUGAAGCCCUGACUUCCUUGGCUUUCUAUCUCUGUUAAAGAAGAGAAUUGGUAAGUCUGUCUAUCCAUCUGUGGGUCUGUCUACCGUUCUUUCACCCACCCAUCCUUUGUCCCUUUGUCCACUCAUCUGUUCAUUCAUCCAUUUUUCCUUUAUCUUCCAUUUGUUCAUCUACCCGUUUAUCUGCCCCUUCCUCCAGCCACCCACCUAUCCUUCGUCCGUUUAUCUGGCUGUCCACCUGUCCAUCCUAGUGUCUGCCCAUCUGUCUGUCCUGCUUUUAUUCAUCCAUUUGCCCAUCCAUCCAUCCAUCUAACCAACAUCUGUCCAUCUACCCUCUGUCUAUCCCAUGUGCACUGAGAGCCCUUGUUGAGCCAGGCCUUGCUCAGUCCUGGGGUACCCCAUAAAGAGAGGAGGUGCGGUUCCUGCUCCCACCCCAAGCUCACUGUUUGGUGGGUCAGAAGUUACACUAGGCAGUGAUAAAAUAGCAAGAUGUGUUGGAGAGUCUUGGGGGGAGCAAGCAAAAAUCUCACAUUUCAUUAUUAAUUUUUUCAUCAAGUCAGACUCUAAGGCUCCAUCCCCUGCAUGGGAAGGACACUCCUUUGUCAUUUGUGCAGGAAGUCCUUGAAUUAAACAAAAAUAUUGGAGGCUUAUAUUGUUCCCGAAGGAAAAUAGGGGAAGACAUCUGGUUCACCUUCAGCCCCUCAUGGCGCUCUCUCCCUGCCUCUCACCCAGCUUCCUGGCUCUGGGGAAGCUUUGCUGACCUGAGCCUGAGAAGCUGCCUCUCAGAGGCACCCCAGACCUUCCAUGCAGCUGUUGCCAGCGGUGGGAGCCUCUGGGUUCAGGGCGAAUGCCACCUGAAGAUGAAGACUUUGGAAAUCAAGGAGAUGCUUCUAGAAGCCAAAAAAAUGCCAGACUGCCAACACUAGAACGAGGGGAGAGCGUGCAACAGAUUUCCCCUCACGGCCCCCAGAGGGAAGCAAUCCUACAGAGACCUCACUCUUGGAUUUCCACCCUCCAGAAUCCUGGGACAAUACAGUUCCGUUGUUGACGCCACCCGGUCUGUAGUCCCGUGUUCUGAUGGCCCCGGUGCACGGACCAUCUGUGCUCCCACAGUUACCAAUGCCUCUGGCAUUCACAUGGCAGAAACACCGCAGCACGCGUCAAGGGAAAGAUUGGCGUUCGUGCCUGAACAAUACUCAAGAGAGCCAACAGUCACUGCGUGAGCAGCUUGACACCAGGAUGGUGGAAGACCUGCUCUGGAUCCAAGGCUGCCAAGGGCUGAUGGGUAGAUGGACAGACAGACUGCCUGGCGGACGGACGGUUGCUUGCCUUCCAGCUCUGUGGGUGGACCAGAGUCCUGAAUGGGAUGGGGGCCUCCCUACGCUCUGCCCCAGGGUACAUCUGCAGGGUUGGUGCCUGUACCUUUCUCUCUGUGUUAGCAGCAGAAUUCCUGACCAGGCCUGGCCUGGGGUGCAGGAGAGGGAGCUUGACCCAGCCUUGACCGAUAGCCUUGACCUAAUCAGGGCAGAGUCUAGUCCUUCAGCUGUUCUCCUCGAAAUGUAUAUUGAUCCCUUCAUCCCCGUGUUGAUUUUCAUUUUAUUUUUGUAAAUAUUUAUUUAUUUGACUGAGAGAGAUAGACACAGUGAGAGAGGAACACAAGCAGGGGGAGUGGGAGAGGGAGAAGGAGGCCUCCCACUGAGCAGGGAGCCCGAUGCCGGGCUUGAUCCCAGGAUCCUGGGAUCAUGACCUGAGCUGAAGGCAGAUGCUCAAUGACUGAGCCACCUAGGCGCCCCUCAUCCCCCUGUUUAAAUCCACACAUGGCAUCCCACUGCCCGGGGCUGGGGAUUAGACCACCAUCCCUGCACUGGUCUAUGUCCUCAUCUCCCUUGUCUCCCUGCUUCAGCCACACUCACUGGCUGCCUGUCUCCCCAGCACUCUGAGCUCAUUGCCCUCUCCAUACUUUUGCCUAUGCUGUUCCUUGUGUCCCAGGCCCACUCUUUCCAAGGCUGGCUCCUCUUUAUCUGUCAGGACCCUGUUACGAAUGUCACCCCCUCUAGGAAGCCUUCUUGGAUUACCUGGCUAAAGCAGAUUCCCUGUUGCAUACCAUCUUUUCCCUUUGUUUUUUUUGUUUUUUGUUUUUGUUUUUUUUGUUUUUUUUUUUUUGGUUUGCUUUCUUCAUUGUCCUUACAUUAUAUGUCAUUAUUUGUCUUCAUACCUACUGAAUUACUUAAUUACUUCAUUGAUUUUUUUUUUUUUUUUUUUUUUUUACCCCUUAUUCCAUCAAACUAUAAGCUCCAUGAAGGCAGGGGUGGUGUCUAUCUUCUGUUCACAAAAACCAGUGUGAGACCUGACACUUAGUGAGCCCUUAGAAAAUGUCUGUUGAAUGAAUGGAUCCAAUACAUGUAUUGAGGAGCUGCACAACACAGGGCUAGAUCACAGUCCAGCAGAAGUGUGGGUACAAAUCCUGACUCUGACACUAAUUGGCAAUGUGCUCUAGGAUGCGUCACUAAAUCUCAUUGGGCCUCAGUCUCUCUUCUGUAAUAAAUAGGAUUGUUACAGGGAUUAAAUAAGUCAACCCAUUCAGUUUUUAGGAAAGGGCCUGGCACACACACCAAGAAAGUUGGAUGUUAGUGUUCUUGUAGGUAAAAUGCAGGGCUUUUAAGGUUCAGAGGUUCAGAGGCUGACUUCCUAUAGGUAAGAAUGGGAUAACUCCAAGAGGGCUUCCUGGAGGAGAAGACAUUUGAAAUGGACCAUGGCGGGGUUGGGGGGUGAAAUUUCUCUAGGCGGAGAUGGGGGUGGAGAGGUCAGGAGAGAUGAAGGACCCCUGGUACCGGGAAGAGACCCAUGGGCAAGCCAGCUCUGCCCUGGGGUUAGAUGCUCCUGAAGCUUCUCACAGAGUCAGGCCCAGCAUGAGCUGUGCUUUUCUCAGCCCGCAACCUCCCUGCUCACAUGGCCUUGACAUUUCAUUUAUACCCAUUUCCUGUGUUUGGUUUGUAUACUGUGAGUGCUGACUCUGAGGAGACAUGCGGAGGCCUGGCGGAAAAUGCCCCAGGAGGAGAUGACUCAGUUGCCCCAAUACCAACCCCAAGUAGACCCGAGUCGAUUUGACAUGGGGCAGAUCCGGAGAAGCCCCCACAGGGCUGCGCCAGGACGGGUCCUACAUGUCCCAGAAGCUCAGGAUGUAGCCUGAUGCCAUCGAUUCCCAAGGGCUUGCAUGAAUUGCUCUGACUCUCUGGGUUGCCCUCGGUCUCCUCACCUGUCAAAUGGGGGCAGACACACUCCUCAGAGUUGCUGGGAUGGUGAAAUGAGUCUUGGUGGGCAGAGAGCAUGUCAGAGUGGUUUCUGCCCUGGUUCCUCAUGUCAUUCAUUUGAAAACACUGUAGGAAGAGUCCUUUUAUUAUCCCCAUUUCACAGACGGGGAAUGUCGAGGUUCAGAGAAGGGCUCUGGUCUGCUCUGCACCAUGCAGCCAGGGAGCGACCCAAGACUGACCUCCAGAUAGGGUGCAAGUGAACAGAUAAUACAGGCUGAAGCAGGGAGAGCAACCACCAGAUGUAGCCAAGAGAGGAUGAACUCAUCACGGGAAACGGGAACACCGUUGGCUGUCUUUCCACUUCUUUUCUGAAGAGGGGGAGCCCAUCCUAGCACGGUGAGGAGUGUUUUCUAAACAUAAGACCCUGGCCCCUGGUAGUUACUCUGUAAAUAUCAGGUUAAUGAACAAAAACACGAAGUAGUACAAAAUGGCUCUUGUGAAUUAACCUGUGAGUGGAAAAUGAUUUUAAAGACCAAUUAAGGGGCGCCUGGGUGGCUCAGAGGAUUAAGCCUCUGCCUUCGGCUCAGGUCAUGAUCUCAGGGUCUUGGGAUCAAGUCCCCCAUUGGGCUCUCUGCUCGGCGGGGAGCCUGCUUCCUCCUCGCUCUCUGCCUGCCUCUCUGCCUACUUGUGAUCUCUGUCUGUCAA